UACGUAGGUGGCAAGCGUUGCUCGGAAUCACUGGGCGUAAAGGGCGCGUAGGCGGUCCUUCAAGUCAGGCGUGAAAGCCCCGGGCUCAACCUGGGAACCGCGCUUGAGACUGGCGGGCUAGAGUUCGGGAGAGGAUGGUGGAAUUCCCAGUGUAGAGGUGAAAUUCGUAGAUAUUGGGAAGAACACCGAUGGCGAAGGCAGCCAUCUGGACCGACACUGACGCUGAGGCGCGAAAGCGUGGGGAGCAAACAGG
rnacentral:rRNA from 1 species